AUUGAACGCUGGCGGCAGGCCUAACACAUGCAAGUCGAGCGGAGCGGCGGACGGGUGAGUAAUGCCUAGGAAUCUGCCUGGUAGUAGGGGAGAACGUACGGAAACGGGCGCUAAUACCGCAUACUAUCAGAUGAGCCUAGGUCGGCUUAGCUAGUUGGUGGGGUAACUGCCGACCAAGGCGACGAUCCGUAACUGGGUUGAGAGGAUGAUCUGUCACACUGGAACUGAGACACGUUCCAGACUCCUACGGGAGGCAGCAGUGGGGAAUAUUGGACAAUGGGCGAAAGCCUGAUCCAGCCAUGCCGCGUGUGUGAAGAAGGUCUUCGGAUUGUAAAGCACUUUAAGUUGGGAGGCGUUACCAACAGAAUAAGCACCGGCUAACUUCGUGCCAGCAGCCGCGGUAAUUC
rnacentral:rRNA from 1 species